rnacentral:lncRNA from 1 species
ACAGCUGAGCCUGCUGCGGUUGCUGCUGACUUCAAAGGCACUGCUUCCCUUGGAUCCACAUCAAGGACUGGAAUGAGAAAAGGGUCCCCUGACCUUCUUAUAUCACCUCGCCUAAGUGUCCCCAGCGGUGCUCUGCAGAGCAGAGGCCCCAGCCUGCCUCUGAAUUGCCAGCUUCUACCACCAAGCCUGGAAGAACUUCAGGGACCAAGAACCUUAACUCCAAAUGGAACACAGGCCACAAAAAUUCCUCAAAUAUGUACACCAAAACAAAAGGGUCCCCGGGGAUUCACUUUAUCUUACCAAGUUUCAGCUGAAGGGGAAGCAUUCUAAUGGCAAGUAAGAAAAGCUGUCAGAGAACUGUUUUGUUCAACAUCAAAUGCAUUCCAGGCCUUAUUUAAUCAGGGAGCCCUCUUCACAGCUGAUGCAGAGGUUGUUCCUGCAAAUUGUUCCUGAGUCAGGGAGAGGAGCCUUGAUUUUCAAUGCAAAAUAAUGUUCUUUUGGCACAGGCAAAGUUGGUUGGCAGCUGGAGGUUUGGGGUGACCUCUGACCCUCUCCCACAGUUCCUCCCAAGUCCCACUGCACAAAACUAAGCCACCCUCAAAUCCCAGGCUCUAAUUGGCUCUUUGGUUUGUUUUGCUUUUCUCUUCUAUCCAGAGCUUCAAAAGGCACUUCGAUAAUUGUUUGAGGCAUGAAAAAGGCAGGUUUCAGCUUUCCUAACUGGAAUGGAGGUAAUUACUGUCUUCCACACACGAGCCGGUACAUGCUUGAAAUCAGAUGGCUCUGGGUUGUUUUAGAAAGUGUAGCUGGGCCUCUGAGCCAGGAGAGGGAGGAUUAUGGAGCCUUCCAGCGGCUCCAUUCCAGAGAGGGAGGAAUUCAGACAUCCCAGAAACGGUGAGGGUAACUUCCAUAUUUUUUUUGCAGUCUCUUCAAUUCUGCCCAAGAGAUUUGGCCUGAAAAGAUUGUGCCUUCAACCUCAUCCUGGAAAUUCAGGUAGCAUUUUUCGGUUUUCUCUCUCAGGAGACAGAAGCUGACACCCCACAUGACUCCCAUCUUGUCUGUAAUCAGCAACCAGGGCUUUGACCUGCACUGUCCUCCUUUCCAGCAGCAGAAAGGGGUCAAACUGAGCCAGGUCUAGUAAGAGCUAUCUCAGAGAACCAGAACACGGAUUUGCUUUUGUUCUCUCAGGACAGCAAACCCAAGGGAGGGCAGACUCAGGCUCACAUCCCACUCACACGGCCCUGAGUGUGGACUGGGAGCAAGACGCUGCUUCAAAUUUCAGCCUGCCAGCUGUGUGUCCACAGGCAGCUAACAAACAUCUCUCAUCCAGCCACAGCCUCACCCAGAGAAGAGUAACCGACCCAACCUUAUAGCGUUGCUGUGAAGUCAGUUAACAUAGGGCUGAAGUUUGCUGUGAAGUCACAGCAACCCUAUGUUAUGGUUAACUUCAUUUAACAUAGGGUUAAUGUAGGUUUAAUAUGAGGGGCUAACAAUUACAUAUAAAUGUUAGCUACUGUAAUUGUCAGAUGCAUGGCCACUGGUGCCAAAGGAACCACUCUGAAAAUUCUGGAGGUUUUCAAGACUCUGGGGAUUCAGAAAUGGAGGAAGAAAAGAAGCUGCUGCAGGAACAGUGCAGGGAAGCUAGAAGGGAACAGGGUGGCAGCCCCAGCUCAAAAGGUCUUCCCUCUCAAGGGCACCACCUGAAACGUAUAAGGUUGCCUGAAAUUCCACAGAUUAGACAUUUAGUUUUGCUUCUUUACAACAAUAUAUCUCAAAGAGAACUGGCUGGUUAAACAUUAUUCAUACAUCUGUGUGAACUGGUUUAUUUGCUCUCUUCCUAAUACCUACACACUUAGAAACUCCAGGGAGCAAAGAGCUUGGGUCUGAGUUAGGGACUAGGAAAGGAACAGAAAGUAAUAACUUAGAGUCAUGAAGCACUGUCCAAGACAUGGCCAGCUGUUCAGACUCUGAGAGCCCCAGUUCAAUUCACUGGCUGGCCUGCAGACAGCCUGCCUGGCUCAUGAGAAGGGAGGAGUGGGGAGUCAGGACCUGGAGGUCCUGAGGUGCUUUUCUGAUGUUGGUACUUUCACGUUGCCCACUCAUAAAAUACCCUUUGUAAAUGGCUUCUGGGACUCCCUCCUCUCUGGGAGUGCCUCCUUCGUGAGCUCUGCAUAUGGGUGGCCCAGAGAGCAGGCCCCAGCUGUUGCCUCUCCUCAGACAUUCCAUCCCUAUGACCUCAUCCAGGUGCGGGCUUGAGUCACCACUCCACUACAGACUCUCUUGAUUUGGAUAUUCAGUUGCCUACUUGACAUCUCCCUUUCAAGUACCUCAAACAAAACGCUCCAUGUGCCCUUACCCCUACCCCCUGCCACCCAAAACAAUCCAAACAAAAACUCCAUCAGCCUGGUCUCCAUGGACAUGUUCUUGAUGCAGUCAACCUUUCAGGACUAUUGACGUUUCUCUUUGUACCUUGUACUUUUCUUUCACAGCCCUUAGGACAAUGUAUAAUCACUUACUUAUUUUCAUAUUGACUUGUGUAAUACCUGUUUCCCAAUAGACUGUAAAAUUCAUGAGAAUGAGACCAGGUGGUUUGUCUCCUGUUCUUCCCCACACCCUAACUGGCACACAGUAGGUCCUCACUAUGUAUUUGUUGAAUGGAUAGUAUUAAAGUGAAGAUGGGUCCUAGGGUGAGGAAGAGUUUCUGGGCACAAAGAAAGGCCAUGAAACCUGGCAAAAAAUACAUAUGAGCUCAUAUCUUGUUUUCCUGAGGAGCUAUUUGGUUUCUUCCUCCUCCUAUUUGAUGAAGUUAUAUGUUUAAUUAAAGCCCUGAACAGUUAGAACAAAUGUAUAGGAAAUGAUCACAUGAUCAUGAACUUAGCAAACAGCUACAAGCUUAACUGUCUAAUAUGGGGAGUGCCUAAAUGAUAUGUAUCAAUAUGGUUGACUCUCAGUUAUCCAUUCCAGUGGAUAAUCUAAUAGCCAGUAAUCUAAUAGUUCAUAAUUUACUUGCCUAUAAUCCCAUAAGUUUUACAUGUGGCUUUGGAUUAUGUUUUGGAAUUUGCACCAGGGUAUGGGGGCUCUGAUGGUUUAGGAAUUCACAGUACUUUGAGCAUAUAUGUCCUAUGUCACUACCCCAGUUGCCCAUUAAGGAUUCCUCUGGGUUCCAACUGCAUGUGGAAAAAAUACUGCAUUGUGCUUAGGAGGAAAGUGCAUUGGUCUUUGUUUGUUUGUUUGUUUGUUUUGUUUUGGCUGUAAAAAUUGGGGUCCAAACCCCAGCUCUUGCAUUUACUAACUAGCUCUGUUUUCACACUACUUGUCCCCGUCUAAACCACUCCCUCAGGCAGGUGCAAAACAAGGCGAAAGCAGAGUUAAGCUCCUUAUGAACUUUCUGUUUUACAUCUAGGCAAAGAAACGUUCUCUCUUCUCCUUUUUUUCUCUUUUUCUUUCUGCCUUAGAAGACCUUCUCUUCCAGCUCAGUGGGAUGAAGUCAACAAGGUCUUUGCUUUACAAAAUCAUGCCUGAUUGGGAAAGAUCCUGAAAAUGUCUAGACAAAUCUGAAAGAAAAAUGCUGUCCUGGGCAAUCUAAUACAGAAAACUGACUCUGGGCUUUCCCUGGGCUCCACUGGUCCCACCAAUGGUGCAAAUGACGGUGACUUUCUCCACGUUCUACAUACAUCUGGGCAUUUGCUCAUGCUGUCUUGGGUCAAAGUCUCAAGUUGGAAAAUGGAUUCAUCCUGAGAUCCAAGGCAGAACCAGUCGUGUUGUCAGUGGGUAGCUGAGACCCCAAAAUUCCCACCUCUUUUCCUGUCAUGAAGUUUCUAUCUCGAGAGAAAACAGCUGUCCAUUCUUAGGCCAACUGGGACUGAAGCCAGCUGUUCCUUCCAGAUGCCAAGAGUCAGAUGCACGCCCACUCUUUUCUCCUAUUCCCUAAGGCUGAAGUCUCAAACUUUAUUGAAUUUAUUAAUAACCUCAGGGACUUGCUAAAAAGCAUUUCCCCAGGCUCUACCUCCAGAGAAUCUGAUUCAGUUAAUUCAGGUUGGCCAGGAAAUCUGCAUGUUAAAUAACAACCCUCCUGCCCCACCUCAUUUCUGAUCUCUAGGAAAUUCCUAUGUAAUUGGUCUGAGAAUCAUACUUUGAGUGACAAUAGCCACAGUGGAGGCACUGGUGUGCCGGUAAAUGUUUAACAACUGGCUCUGGAGGUGGAAAAGCCUGGUUUGUAGCUUGCUGAUUUCUGUGGUAUAAAUAUUCCCACCUUGGUCAACUCAAGCUACAAAUAUGACAUCAUGAUUGUGAAGUUGGGAAAAGGUUUGUGCAAUCAGUUCUGAUAAGCCCAUAGUAACUGAUUUCAGCAUGCCCACUGGGUGGAAGUGGCCGGAUGCCUCCAAAUGCUGGUUCCUAGGCUCUGGCAUAGAAGGGCCACUGUUUGGUCCAGAAUGUCACAUCCCCUAAUUUUUUUUCCCUAAAUCCUUCGUUUUUUGAAUGGUUUGUUUUGGUUACUGGCUCUCGGAGACCUUGAGGGGUUCCAAGCCAGAGAACAAAGAAGGGGAAGAGAAGGAGCUCCAAGAAAGAAAAUGCAAUUAGUGUAGGAUGUUGGCCUCAGCUACGCUGCUAACCUUGUUCAACCCAGCUUUCAGCAGGGAAGGGGUUUCAAACACCUGUCUCUGCCUUCAUUUGAUAAGCUUUCUGGUCAAGUCACAUUAACCUGAUCCUGCUGACCUGGAGAAGGAUGAAAAGGCUGAGUGUCGGGGACCUGAGGGGAUGAAAGUGGAUGGGGGAGGCCUGGGGGGGGGGCUCAUAUGACCUGGGGUCACCAUCGGCUUAAGGCUUCCCCUUUGUCUCCCUGCUCUGGCCCCAUGUUUGAAGGUUCUGGUGAUUUCCUCCCGCCCCCCGACUAGGCGAACAGAUGUGGAAAGAUCUCCAGUUCCCAGGGCUCAGGACACAACUGCCUGUUGUUUCCCGCCUGCAGACCGGGGCCUGCAGUCACAGGCAGAACAGCUACGCAAUCACUUGCCAAAGAGCUGAGCCCAGUCAGGUGUGGGGUGCAAGCCUACUCUGCCUUUUGGGAGUGAGAGGAUGUGUAAGCCUAGCUGAACAAGAAUGGAAAACAACCAUGUUCCCGCCCUGUUGUGCUCUAAGUUCACUGUGUAGGAAUUCAGAGGCACUUUAGCAGAGGCAAUGACUUGAGCUCUUCCACGGCAAUACAAUGCUCACAGGUGCCAUGACCAUUUGAACAAACGCUGCCUUCUGGGCCAGCUGCUUCUCUUGUCCCACACUGCAGGUACUGCCAACGUGAGAACUUUGCCCACUUCUAGACUGGAGUUGAGGGCACCCUGCUACUCUAAAAAGGAUGUUUUCCUCAGCCCACUGAGCUUUCAGGGCUCACUAGAUCAAGGCGGUAGAAGAGUUACAAAGGAAGGGGUGCAAGUGUUAGCUUCCUUAUGUACCUUAUUUAUUCAACACUGAUAGUUUCAGAAAUGGCUUAGAGCCUAGCUUCCUCACCAAUAUCCAUAUACCUUUGACAAGUGGGACAAAUAAAAGCAUAAAAAUAUCUCCCUUAAAUAAAACGCCUUUCUCAUAUCUAGUCCAUCUACAAGAAUAAGCUGAUACCUAAUGAUAUGUUUUCUAGUUUAUGCAAUAAAUGGUGGUGAUUACAAUUUUGCACAAAGACCUGGUACAUAUACGUCUUAGCAUGUAGCACAUUUACCUGUAAAUGCUACAAGUAGCAGAAUGACAGCCAUCUCCCUAAAGCACUGAUUCUCCAAGUGAGGUCUGCAGUCCCCUGGGAUCCCUGAGACCCUAUCAGGGUGUCUGCAAGCUCAAAAUUAUUUUCAUAAUUUUGAUAAUAUUUCAUAAUAAUACCAAGAUGUUAUUUGCCUUCUUCACUGUGUUGACAUCUGGGUAAAAUUGCUGGUGCUAGACUAUGCUGGCAGUCACGGCAUUCUUCACUGCUACAAACUUACAGGGGGAAUAAAUGCCAGUUUCACCAAAGAAUGUCCUAAAUUAGACAGUAAAAAUUAUUAAUUUUAUAAAACCUUGCCCAAAAGGUACUUUUUCUCUCCUCCCCUCCUCUCCCCUCUCUGCCUCCCUUCCCCUUCCCCUUCCCUUUCCUUUCCUUCCCUUCCCUUCCCUUUCUUUUCUUUGUGUGAUGACUUGGAAACAAAGUAUCAAGCAUUUCUGGUGCAUCCUGAAGUAUGAUGGUCAUCUGGAGGAAAAGCACUUGUGUGAGUGUCCUGAGUUGUGAUCUGCACUAGUCACUUUCAUGGAACACAAUGUUUACUCAAAAGGACCAAAUAACCAUAGUUAUUCAGAUUUGGUUAUUUGACAGGCAUUUUCUCAAAAAUGAACAAACUGAGCUCAUCACUUCAAGAAAGACAAUAAUUAACAGUAUUUUCUGCCAAAAUAGAAGUAUAAAGCAAAAAUUAGAAUUUUUAGAAACCUGUAUCUGCCAUAGUGAACUUAACACCUUCCCAACACUUACAGAGGUUUUUGAUGAGAUCAGUGAUAUUAACAAAUAAGAACUUUUAGUUUUCAUCAAGAAAUAUAUCAAAUUUGAAAAAUCUGCAUGACUUAGUGAAGCAAUAUUUUCCAAAUGACCCAUGCAUAUUAUUUCAAAAUCAUGCAUGAGCAAAAGAUCUAUUCAGAGUACAAGCCAGAUAACUGAAUUUUAACAUAACUGAGCACAAAAAGUUCAUUGAUAUAGUUUCAGAUUCCACAUUGCAACUAACCUUAGUAAUCUACUAUUGGUUGAGUUUUGGUAUAAUGUCAAAGAAGAAUAUUCACAAUUAUCUGAAAAGACUAUUAAAAUAUUCCUCCCUUUUCCAACAAAAUAACUACGUGAGGCUGGGUUUCCUUCGCAUACUUUAUCCAAAACAACAUUAUCACAGCUGAUUGAAUGCAGAAGCCGAUAUGAGAAUCCAGCUGUCUUCUAUUAAGCCGGACAGUCAAGAGAUUUGCAAAAAUGUAAAACACUGUCACUCUUCUCACUUGGAUUUUUUAAAAAAGUUAUUUUUAUAAUAAAAUGUUAUUUUUAACGUUUAAAUGGAUUAAUGAAUAUAUGCAUUUUAAUAAAUUACUAAAUGUUAAUUUAUUCAUUAACAAUGAAUAAAUAUUAAAUGAACAAAUAUUAUUUUUGGUUUUAGUUUUUAAUAUGGUAAAUUAUUUAAUUAUCUAUUGCUGUAUAGCAAAGUAUCCUAAAACCUAGUGGCUUAAAACAACAAUAAUCACUUGAGUUGCCAGCCUAAAGAAAUGGGUCCAGCUUCCGGGCAGGGCGUGGUGGCUCACGCCCGUAAUCCUAGCACUUUGGGAGGCCGAGGUGGGCGGACCACAAGGUCAGGAGAUCGAGACCAUCCUGGCUAACAUGGUGAAACCCCGUCUCUACUAAAAAUACAAAAAAUUACCCGGGCAUGGUGGUGGGUGCCUGUGGUCCCAGCUACUCGGGAGGCUGAGGCAGGAGAAUGGCAUGAACCUGGGAGGCAGAGCUUGCAGUGAGCCGAGAUCAUGCCACUGCACUCCAGCACUCCAGCCUGGGCGACAGAGUGAGACUCUGUCUCAAAAAAAAAAAAAAAAAGAAAAGAAAAGAAAGAAAGAAAGAAAGAAAUUGGUUCACCUGGGUGGCUCAUACCUGUAAUCCCAUCACUUUGGGAGGCUGAGGUGAGAUGAUCAUUUGAGGCCAGGAGUUUAAAACAAGCCUGGGCAACAUAGCGAGACCCCAUCUCUAAAAGAAAAAAAAAAAAGCCAGGAAUGGUGGUGCACACCUGUAGUCCUAGCAACUUGAGAGACUGAGGCUGAAAGAUCACUUAAUCCCAGGAGGUUGAGGCUACAGUGAAUUGUGAUUGCACCACUGCACUCCAGCCUGGAUGACAGAGGGAGACCCUAUCUCUCUAAAAAAAAAAAAAAAAAAAAGAAGAAGAAGAAGAAAGGAAGAAAAGAAAUUAUUGGUCCAUAUGUCUGAAAUGUCUUUGCUGUCUAUCUUUGUCCCGUUGCUCAUAGUUAGACCAUCAUUUAGGCAACUUCUUGCUCACUUACCCUCCACAAGCUUGGACACAGGUCCUUCUAGCUCUGUUUCUUCUGAACUUGAGAUUACUGGAGACUCCCUUAUGAGUUUUAACACUCCCCAUAACCUUUGUAUGAUUUGUACAUAGAAAAUACCCCCAAAAUUAAAAAUAAAUUAUUAAACUAAAGGAAAGGUUAGUAAGAUUGCUGGACAUAAAAUUAAUAUUUGAAAAUAAAUUAUAUUCCAAUAAGAUACACAAAUGGCCAACAAGCACAUAAGAAAUAUCUUUAGUAUCACCUGCUCUCUGCAGCUCCCAGGCACACCUCCCCAGGAGCAGAGGUUUUCUGGGCUAGGUCAGGCCCUCCCAUUACCUGCUUUGUAGAAGACAGGGAAGAAAAUCACUCACUGUAUGUAAUUUUAUUUAAGAGAGUGCAAGAAUGUCGUGUUUGAGCCUUUCACUCUUUUUUCUUUGUAUUUCUUAUCGGAAAUGAAAGAAAACAGCCAGUGAGAUAGGAUCUCAGGUCUAGAAUUCCUAGCAGGUAAUUUGGGAGUUGAAAACAAAUCUCCCCUGAAAUGCAUUAAGCAGGUGAAGGGGAUUCCAGUUUCAACUCUGAAACCACACCUUAUCCUGGCCUGGCAAAUAACUUCCUUCCAGCCCCAGGCAAAUCCCAACUUCCACCCGCCAAAUGCCUGCAGUUAAUAAACGUUUAAGCAACAACAAAAACCCCAAGUGGAAAAUGGAAGACUGAUUCGAGGCUGAGAUACUAGAAGGGCUGCCUGGGAGCCCCUCUCUGAGAGCCGCGCCCACAGGAGGAACUUUUAGCCAGGGAAGCCGGGGCCUGGAGCUGGGGAACCCAAGGCAUGAUGUCUUUCAGAGCGUCAGAGCAGGGUAAAUAUCUGAUUUGAGUCAAAUGAUUAUUUUUCUUGAUCAGAUUUGUCCACUUGUUUCAUUGGAACUCCAUACCACUAGCCAUGGUCAAACCCUUCAAAAUGGCCAAAAUCUCCAGACUGCAUUAUUGGGCCACAGUAGGUCCUGCUUCCUGCUAAGUGCUGCAAGACUGGAGUUUCCAAGCUCUGGUCUAGAUAGGUCAGCUGAGGGUUGGUAAGGAAGUUCUCAUGGGUCCAGAGAGAACUAAGAAAAAAAGGAUCAUGUUAUGCUGUGGAAAUGUGCUCCGCGGUAAUUUUUAUUCCCAUUUUACAUAUCAGAAAACAGAGGCUCAGAGACGUUGAAUGACUUGCCACAUAGCUAGUCAGUAGCAGAGCGAGGAUGGAGAUUCACAUGAUCAAUCACAGUGACCACCGUUUGCUGAGCACCUGUAGUGAGACAGGCAAACACCUUGUGCUUUGUGUGUGUUAACUUGUUCAGUUCUCGUGGAUUGCUUCCUUUUUAAAGAAAUGAAACUGUUCAACAGAGCUUCCUGCCAUAAGGGAAAUCUUCUACAUCUCACGUCCAAUAGAUAGCCACAAGCCCCAUGUUGCUAUUCAGCCCUUGAAAUGUGGUAAGUGAAACUGAGGAACAAAAUUUUAAAAUUUUAUUUCACUUAAAUUGAUUUAAAUGUGAACAGCCACAUGUGGCUGGCAGCUCUGGGAGGUUCAGUAGCUUUUCCAAAAGCCAGCGAAGUGAUGAGGUGAGGGUUGUGUUGUGGGGCUGAUUGAGCCCCAAAUCCAUGUGUUUCCCCCUUUCUCUCUGCUCCCCUGUGAGGUGGCCUGCCUUUUCCAAAGUAAAAGACACUGGGAAGGAAACUGACCAGACAGUAUACAGUCAGCCAAAAAUAAAGCCAGACCCCAAAGGUGGGGUCUGUAUUUGAGUCUGCUUCUUCCGAAUGUGUCUGGAAGCCCCCAUGGGUGGCCAAACAGCCCAGCUGGGGGCUUCAGACCCUGCACCAGUAACUUCCCAGAGCCCACCAUGGCCCAUUUGGCUGGGGCUUAUAUGACUCACAGGUUCCAACCCUACAAUUUAAACUGCAGCAUUUCCUUUUUCUGGGCUUAACACUAAUUGGUAGAGGUAGUGAGCUCCCAGGCCCAGCCUCACCCUGUCGAAACAUGUAGCUCUCAACAGUUCCCACUGGAAGCACCACCCAUGAGGUGCAGCUACCAUUGCCAUGUGUCUGAAUGCCAGUGUUUAACCCAAGCUGGCCCAUUGUUGUUCCAUGAGCCUCUCUAUAGCCUCUGAAUGUUCAUCUUU